GAUGAACGCUGGCGGCGUGCCUAAUACAUGCAAGUAGAACGCUGAAGGAGGAGCUUGCUCUUCUGGAUGAGUUGCGAACGGGUGAGUAACGCGUAGGUAACCUGCCUGGUAGCGGGGGAUAACUAUUGGAAACGAUAGCUAAUACCGCAUGACAACAGUUAUUGCAUGAUAACUGUUUAAAAGGGGCAACUGCUCCACUACCAGAUGGACCUGCGUUGUAUUAGCUAGUUGGUGAGGUAACGGCUCACCAAGGCGACGAUACAUAGCCGACCUGAGAGGGUGAUCGGCCACACUGGGACUGAGACACGGCCCAGACUCCUACGGGAGGCAGCAGUAGGGAAUCUUCGGCAAUGGACGGAAGUCUGACCGAGCAACGCCGCGUGAGUGAAGAAGGGUUUCGGAUCGUAAAGCUCUGUUGUAAGAGAAGAACGAGUGUGAGAGUGGAAAGUUCACGCUGUGACGGUAGCUUACCAGAAAGGGACGGCUAACUACGUG
rnacentral:rRNA from 1 species